rnacentral:tRNA from 1 species
GCCUGGGUGGUGUAAACCAUUAAUGCACUCGGCUGCUAACUGAAAGGUUGGUGGUUCAAGUCCACCCAGAGGCA